GUUGUUGCGGUUAAAAAGCUCGUAGUUGGAUUUCUGUCAAGGACAACUGGUCCGCCCUCCGGGUGAGCACAUAGUUUGGUCUUGACAUCUUGCUGGAAGCUGUUGCUGCACUUGGCUGUGUGGCGCAGUGUUCAGCACUUUCACUUUGAGGAAAUUGGAGUGUUUCAAGCAGGCACAUGCCUUUGGACACAGUAGCAUGGAAUAAUUAGAUUGGGCUUUUGCUCCAAUUUGUCGGUUUCUGGAGCUGAGGUGAGUAUUAAUGGGGAUUGUUGGGGGCAUCCGAAUUUAGCCGUCAGAGGUGAAAUUCUUGGAUCUGCUAAAGACGGACAACUGCGAAAGCGUUUGCCCAGGAUGUUUUCAUUGAUCAAGAACGAAAGUUAGGGGAUCGAAGACGAUCAGAUACCGUCCUAGUCUUAACCAUAAACGUUGCCGACUAGGGAUCGGAGGGCGUGCACAUUCCGCCUUCGGCACCUUACGAGAAAUCAAAGUUUUUGGGUUCUGGGGGGAGUAUGGUCGCAAGGCUGAAACUUAAAGAAAUUGACGGAAGGGCACCACCA
rnacentral:rRNA from 14 species